rnacentral:rRNA from 1 species
AUACGUAGGGUGCAAGCGUUAAUCGGAAUUACUGGGCGUAAAGCGUGCGCAGGCGGUUUUGUAAGACAGAGGGGAAAUCCCCGGGCUCAACCUGGGAACUGACUUUGUGACUGCAAGGCUAGAGUACGGCAGAGGGGGCUGGAAUUCAGCGUGUUGCAGUGAAAUGCGUAGACAUGCGGAGGAACACAGAUGGGGAAGGCAAGCCCCUGGGCCUGUGCUGACGCUCAUGCACGAAAGCGUGGGGAGCAAACAGGAGUAGAUACCCUGGUAGUCCACGCCCUAAACGAUGUCAACUGGUUGUUGGGUCUUCAUUGACUCAGUAACGAAGCUAACGCGUGAAGUUGACCGCCUGGGGAGUACGGCCGCAAGGUUGAAACUCAAAUGAAUUGACGGGG